CCCUUUAAGCGAGAACUUCAGCUAUUGAGGCAACAGCUGAGCAGAGAAUUCCACAGUGUUGCUAGCCCAUUUUGCUGCUAGGAAGAGGACAGAACGGGUGUCUUCUGCAAGGGGUUUGCUAAGGUGAAGUGCACACCAGAGAGAGGCAAGGAAUCCUUAGGACCCAGGGGAAUCCACAGAAACUAAUCUCAUGCAUUCAAUAUGAGGAGUUCCUCCCCUCACUGGUCAGGGAUUCUCAGGUGUCCAAGUAACAAAGCUCCCUCCUCCUCCUCCUCCUCCUCUCUUUUCUCAGCCAGCUGCUUUCCUGGAACUCUCUCCUCAGACUCCAUGCCCGUCCUCUUACUAUCCCCUCUCGCCCUUCCCAAUGAAGCGGCCAGGGAAUAAAGCUGCACCAUGAACGACCACUACCACCGGGCAGCCAGGGAUGGCUACCUUGACCUGCUGAAGGAAGCCACCAAGAAGGACCUCAACUCGCUCGAUGAGGAUGGCAUGACCCCAACCCUAUGGGCCGCCUACCAUGGCAACUUGGAUGCGUUAAGACUGAUAGUUAGCAGAGGGGGUGACCCAGACAAAUGUGAUAUCUGGGGGAACACGCCUCUUCAUCUGUCAGCAGCCAAUGGUCAUCUCAAUUGCCUCUCCUUCCUGGUGUCUUUUGGGGCCAACAUUUGGUGUUUGGACAAUGACUACCACACUCCGCUGGACAUGGCAGCCAUGAAGGGCCACAUGGAGUGUGUGCGUUAUUUGGACUCCAUUGCUGCCAAGCAGAGUAGCCUCAACCCCAAGCUGGUGAGCAAGCUGAAGGACAAGGCCUUCAAGGAUGCAGAGAAGCGGAUUAAGGACUGUGUAAAGAUGCAGAAGAAGCACCACGAGAGGAUGGAGAAGCGGUACAAGAAGGAAAUGUCUGACCACUCGGACACUAUGAGUUUUUCCAGCUACUCCAGCAGCACUCUGAGCAGGAGGUUCCAGCACAUGUCUAUGAUGACUUCCUUGCCAUAUUCUCAGGCCACCAUACACGGCACAGCCAAGGGCAAGACCAAAAUCCAGAAGAAGCUGGAGAAAAAGAAGCAAGUGGAUGGCACCUUCAAAAUCUACGAGGAUGGGAGGAAAAGUGUGAGGUCCUUGUCUGGUUUGCAGCUGGGCAACGAUGUCAUGUUUGUGAAACAAGGCACCUAUGUUAGCCCAAAGGACUGGACCCGGCGCAAUGUUAGGGACAUGUUUAUGAUGGAUGAAGAUACUGUCUCCCGUGCCAUAAGUGACCCAGGUUUGCACAUGGACUCGGCCCAUUCUGAGGUCAGCACUGAUUCUGGUCACGACUCCUUAUUCAAUCGACCUGGACUUGGCACAAUGGUUUUCCGGAGGAACUAUGUCAGUAGCGGACUGUUUGGGAUUGGCCAGGAUGACCCCAGCAUGCUAGGGGAGGACAGGAUGGGUGUUAAACUUCACAACCGCCUGCAGCGCUCGCCAAGUCUCAAUGACAGCAUCGGCAGUGCCAACAGCCUGCAGGAGAGGAAUGUGGAGGAGCUGCCGUGGGAUGAGGUGGAGCUGGGCCUGGAUGAUGAUAUUGAACCCGAGACGAGCCCCCUGGAGACCUUUCUGGCUUCCUUGCAUAUGUCCGAGUUCAUUUCAAUCCUCAAGAAGGAGAAGAUUGACCUGGAAGCUCUUAUGCUGUGUUCGGACAAUGAUCUGAAAAGCAUCAACAUUCCACUGGGGCCCCGGAAAAAGAUGCUGGAUGCUGUUAAGAGGAGGAGACAGACUAUGGAGAACCCUGAUGUCAUAGAAGACACUGAGCUGUAAGCAAUUGAGCCCCCUCCUUUCACACUCAUGGAAUGCACACAGGUCUUCAGCAUGUGAUGCGCAUAGCAUAGAAUGAUAGCUGUUUUUAAGGAACAAGAAAUGAACAGAAAAACAAAACCCCAGUUCUAAGUUGCCAGAAAAUAUCUCCCAGUGAUCCUAACAGUGGGAAAUAAUGAACGCCAUAAUAAAAGGUCCAAUUCUAACCACCUCGCAGCUUCCUUUCUCUGCUUUCCUGCCUGCAGACUUUUGCCAGAGAACAGCCUCAUGUUUAAGGGCAUUUUGGGGACAUGAGUUGCACGACACUAAUUUAACCAUGCAGUCUUAUACAUGUCUACUCAGAAGUAAGCCCCAUCAAGUCCAACAGGACUUACAGGGCCUGUGGUGCUCCAGCUGUUCUUGAACACU